GAUGAAGAACGUAGCGAAAUGCGAUAAGUAAUGUGAAUUGCAGAAUUCAGUGAAUCAUCGAAUCUUUGAACGCACCUUGCGCCUUUUGGUAUUCCGAAAGGCACACCUGUUUGAGCGUCAUGAAUACCUCAAUCUCCAUCUUUUCUUCGGAUUGAUGGGUGACUUGGAUGUUGAGCCCUGCUGGUAUGCUAUAUCAGCUGGCUUUAAACUUAUUAGCCGGCUCUGUACUGGAUCGGUUUGACUCGACGUGAUAAUAUUAUCGUUGAGGAUGCAUGUCUCAUGCAGCCGGAAAGUAUCAAAGCAGCUUCUAGCUUGCCUUUAGUGCACUUUUACAUUUUAGAGCUCAGAUCAGGUGGGACUACCCGCUGAACUUAAGCAUAUCAAUAAGCGGAGGA
rnacentral:misc_RNA from 1 species